UCGGGGAUCGUCUAAUGGUAGGACAGCAGGUUCUGGCCCUGCUAAUCUUGGUUCGAUUCCAGGUCCCCGAG
rfam:Parcubacteria bacterium GW2011_GWA2_40_23 TT91_C0004, whole genome shotgun sequence.